CCGCGGGCAUGCUUAGUACGGCGAGUGAAGCGGCAAAAGCUCAAAUUUGAAAUCUGGUACCUUCGGUGCCCGAGUUGUAAUUUGGAGAGGGCAACUUUGGGGCCGUUCCUUGUCUAUGUUCCUUGGAACAGGACGUCAUAGAGGGUGAGAAUCCCGUGUGGCGAGGAGUGCGGUUCUUUGGCAUGCUUAGUACGGCGAGUGAAGCGGCAAAAGCUCAAAUUUGAAAUCUGGUACCUUCGGUGCCCGAGUUGUAAUUUGGAGAGGGCAACUUUGGGGCCGUUCCUUGUCUAUGUUCCUUGGAACAGGACGUCAUAGAGGGUGAGAAUCCCGUGUGGCGAGGAGUGCGGUUCUUUGAGGAUAAAUCCAUAGGAAUGUAGCUUGCCUCGGUAAGUAUUAUAGCCUGUGGGAAUACUGCCAGCUGGGACUGAGGACUGCGACGUAAGUCAAGGAUGCUGGCAUAA
rnacentral:rRNA from 1 species